rnacentral:rRNA from 1 species
UACGUAGGUGGCAAGCGUUGUCCGGAUUUAUUGGGUUUAAAGGGUGCGUAGGCGGCUGUUUAAGUCAGUGGUGAAAGCCGAUCGCUUAACGAUCGAACUGCCAUUGAUACUGAAUAGCUUGAGUACAGAUGAGGUAGGCGGAAUUGACAGUGUAGCGGUGAAAUGCAUAGAUAUUGUCAAGAACACCGAUUGCGAAGGCAGCUUACUAAAGUGUCACUGACGCUGAGGCACGAAAGUGCGGGGAUCAAACCGG